GACGAACGCUGGCGGCGUGCUUAACACAUGCAAGUCGAACGGAAAGGCCCUGCUUGCAGGGUACUCGAGUGGCGAACGGGUGAGUAACACGUGGGUGAUCUGCCCUGCACUUCGGGAUAAGCGUGGGAAACUGGGUCUAAUACCGGAUAGGAACCAUCUUUAGUGUGGUGGUUGGAAAGUUUUUUCGGUGUAGGGUGAGCUCGCGGCCUAUCGGCUUGUUGGGGGGGUAAUGGCCUACCAAGGCGGCGACGGGUAGCCGGACUGAGAGGGUGUACGGCGACACUGGGACUGAGAUACGGCACAGACGCCGAAGGGAGGAAGCAGUGGGGAAUAUUGAACAAGGGGCGCAAGGCGGAUGCAGCGAGGCCGCGUGUGGGAUGAAGGCCUUGGGGUUGAAAAAUCCCUUCGCUAGGGACGAAGCUUUUUGUGACGGUACCUAGAGAAGAAGCACCGGCUAACUACGUG
rnacentral:rRNA from 1 species